UAUUUUAAAAAAUUGUAAUAAAUUCUUCGAAAUAUUUUUAAAAUUAAUUAAAGGAAUAAAAUGAUUUGUAAGGGAAUGAUUUUUAGUUUUUCAAUUUUGAGCUAAGUAUAGCCUCAUUGAUUGAUUUCAGAAGAUUUUUAUUUUUUACUUUUGGCAAUGUUAAAAUUAUUUGUUCGUGAUGUUUGUUAUCAAACUUGAUUUCUUAUCAAAAUUUAUAUUUUCCGUCAUAAUAUGUAAAUUGUGUGAGGUGUUGCAAAAUUUAACAGUUCCAUUUAUAACUAUUUGAAAUCCAGUAUUUUUUUCAGCUAACCAAGAUGUUUCAAAGCAUAAUUGAUGGGUUAAGGAGGAUUUCAGAAACAAACAUUGACCCUAAUCGAGUUAUUGAAGUCCAUACUGAUGACUAUAUAUGCAGUGACGUCAUUUCACGGCAUGAUUGCUUGAUAUUGUAUCGAACACAAGAGAAUGGAACUCCAAAGCUUGAUAUCGUUAUGCAAAUGGACAUAAAUCAUACAUUUAAUAAAGCCUUUAGGUGAUCUA